rnacentral:rRNA from 1 species
GAUGAACGCUGGCGGCGUGCCUAAUACAUGCAAGUCGAGCGAACGGACGAGAAGCUUGCUUCUCUGAUGUUAGCGGCGGACGGGUGAGUAACACGUGGAUCACCUACCUAUUAGACUGGGAUAACUUCGGGAAACCGGAGCUAAUACCGGCUAAUAUUUUGUACCGCAUGGUUCAAAAGUGAAAGACGGUCUUCCUGUUACUUUUAGAUGGAUCCGCGCUGCAUUAGCUAGUUGGUAAGGUAACGGCUUACCAAGGCAACGAUGCAUAGCCGACCUGAGAGGGUGAUCAGCCACACUGGAACUGAGACACGGUCUAGACUCCUACGGGAGGCAGCAGUAGGGAAUAUUGCGCAAUGGGCGAAAGCCUGACGGAGCAACGCCGCGUGAGUGAUGAAGGUCUUCGGAUCGUAAAACUCUGUUAUUAGGGAAGAAAAUAUGUGUAAGUAACUGUGCACAUCUUGACGGUACCUAAACAGAAAGCCACGGCUAACUACGUG